rnacentral:tRNA from 1 species
GCGGGGGUACCCGAGCCAGGUCUAAAUAGCGGCUGAAACCCUAGGAAAAGGGGGAGGACUUAAGAUCCUCUGGCGAAGGCCUCCGCGGGUUCGAAUCCCGCCCCCCGCACCA